rnacentral:rRNA from 1 species
AUUGAACGCUGGCGGCAUGCCUUACACAUGCAAGUCGAACGGUAACGGGCCUUCGGGUGCCGACGAGUGGCGAACGGGUGAGUAAUGUAUCGGAACGUACCUUUCAGUGGUGGACAACGUAGCGAAAGUUACGCUAAUACCGCAUAUUCUGUGAGCAGGAAAGCAGGGGAUCGCAAGACCUUGCGCUGAUUGAGCGGCCGAUAUCAGAUUAGCUAGUUGGUGAGGUAAAGGCUCACCAAGGCGACGAUCUGUAGCGGGUCUGAGAGGAUGAUCCGCCAAACUGGAAAUGAGACACGGUCCAGACUCCUACGGGAGGCAGCAGUGGGGAAUUUUGGACAAUGGGGGCAACCCUGAUCCAGCCAUGCCGCGUGAGUGAAGAAGGCCUUCGGGUUGUAAAGCUCUUUCGGCCGGGAAGAAAUCGUAUCAGCUAAUACCUGGUGCGGAUGACGGUACCGGCAUAAGAAGCACCGGCUAACUACGUGCCAGCAGCCGCAGUAACAC